UGGGGAAUAUUGGACAAUGGGCGAAAGCCUGAUCCAGCCAUGCCGCGUGUGUGAAGAAGGUCUUCGGAUUGUAAAGCACUUUAAGUUGGGAGGAAGGGCAGUAAGUUAAUACCUUGCUGUUUUGACGUUACCGACAGAAUAAGCACCGGCUAACUCUGUGCCAGCAGCCGCGGUAAUACAGAGGGUGCAAGCGUUAAUCGGAAUUACUGGGCGUAAAGCGCGCGUAGGUGGUUUGUUAAGUUGGAUGUGAAAGCCCCGGGCUCAACCUGGGAACUGCAUCCAAAACUGGCAAGCUAGAGUACGGUAGAGGGUGGUGGAAUUUCCUGUGUAGCGGUGAAAUGCGUAGAUAUAGGAAGGAACACCAGUGGCGAAGGCGACCACCUGGACUGAUACUGACACUGAGGUGCGAAAGCGUGGGGAGCAAACAGGAUUAGAUACCCCUGUAGUCCCUGAGCGGGCUGGCAAGGCGCAU
rnacentral:rRNA from 1 species